GGGUUCAGAACUCAGGGACACUUUAUCACUAAGUUGCAUACGUCCCCAGCUCUUUUAAAACUUUGAGACAGGGUCCUGCUAAAUUGCCCAAGCUGCCCUUGAACUUGCAGUCUGGCUGCCUCAGCCUCCUGAGUAGCUGGGAUUACAGGCAUGGGCCACGAGCCCUGCCUUGAGUGCAGGUGGAGGGCGAACUUGAUCCUGUGAAGGCAGCAUUUGAUCCAACAAAAUGGGAGGGCAGGUCAGUGUGUGUGAAAAAGGUGUUUUUAAGGACAACUAGUCUGGGAGCAACGCGUCGGCCGAGGGAGACCACUUGGAGGCAUUCACAAGAAACCAGGCAGACAUCAGGUCGCAGUGCUGGAGUGUUAAGAGGAAAACUAGAAACCAACAGCAAGAGGAAGAUAUCAAGAAGAGGUAUACCUGAUUCAAAAGGAACCUCUGGUUUUAGUUCUUUGUGAAAACUCCACACUGAUUUCCAGUGGUUGCACCAGC
rnacentral:lncRNA from 1 species